rnacentral:rRNA from 1 species
UGAAGUCAGUCAUGUUGUCCGGAACUCAGCCUUGCUUUUGCUUGGUGCAUUUUUUGGAUAACAGGCCAGCAUCAAUUUUAACCGUUGGAAAAGGGCUAGAGUAAUGUGGCACCUCCGGGUGUGUUAUAGACUUUAGUCGCAUACAUCGGUCGGGAUUGAGGACCGCAGCGCGCCGCAAGGCAGGGGUUCGCCCACUUUCGCGCUUAGGAUGCUGGCAUAAUGGCUUUAAACGAC